rnacentral:rRNA from 1 species
UACGUAGGGGGCAAGCGUUGUCCGGAAUCAUUGGGCGUAAAGAGCGUGUAGGCGGCCAGAAAAGUCCGCUGUGAAAACUCGAGGCUCAACUUCGAGCUGUCGGUGGAAACUUUCUGGCUAGAGUCCGGAAGAGGAGAAUGGAAUUCCUGGUGUAGCGGUGAAAUGCGCAGAUAUCAGGAAGAACACCCGUGGCGAAGGCGGCUCUCUGGGACGGUACUGACGCUGAGACGCGAAAGCGUGGGGAGCAAACAGG